rnacentral:misc_RNA from 1 species
AUGAAUUGUUAGGACGCUCUUUUUAGAGGUCCGACCCCUUCAUUUCCUUACACUGUGCACAAACUUCUUUUCACACAUUUUUUAACACAUUAGUCUAAGAAUGUAAAUAGUCUCUUAAUUGAGCAUAAAAUAAAUA